rfam:Schistosoma curassoni strain Dakar, Senegal genome assembly, scaffold: SCTD_scaffold0006706
AUCCAGCUGACGAGUCCAAAAUAGAAUGAAACACGUGUUCUGAAU